GCCUCCUUACCUCCAGUCUCCAGAGAGGUUUCUUUCUGUAGUCUCCAUGGACUUGAUGCCAUCCAUGUCGAGCUUCGAUGUUCGAGUAUCGACUACCGCAUAUCGUAACGUAUAUCGAAUCUCGAAUGUCGUCGCAUCAUUUGAAUUAUAACCGACUAACUUUGUUGAUAAUAACCUUAAAUAUAUCACCGAGUGUCAGAAGUACUUUUGAUGUUUGUAUAGGAUACUAUUAAUCAAAGUAAUGGUCAAUUUGAGAACAUAAUAAAUUUUUCAACCUUAAAAUAAGCCAUGGCGGAAUUGCAAACUGCGUUAACCGCGAUCAGAUUACUGCGAAUAAGUGUCCGGCAGCUUUUUAAUCCUGUGGGAAGCGGCCAGGGAGUCGAUGGUGGUGAAGAUAACUCGAUGACAAAUUUUCCUCGGGACCUCCAGGAAUUUCUAAGUACUAUUGCUAGCCGUGUAAGAGAUGUAGAACAGGCGGUGAACACUCUGGAACCAACUCCGGAACCGUUCGAUCUUCCAAGUAUGAUGUACCUGGGCCAGCACACGACACAGGAAGGACAAGCGUUCCACGACACAUUGGUAAACACUUAUAGAUGGAUAAAGGAUGUUGAGGAGAAAAGCGGCGUCGCCCAAACACUACUUAGUCAGAACUCAAUGACGCGUUCGUACCUAACUGCGGGCAGACCAGUGAAAAAAAGAUUGCGAACGGCCAGUCAUAACGUUCCUCCGGAGCAAGUCGACUCUGUCAUAAUGACAAUAGACAGACUGUAUGACGACAUGACGAUAACCAUUUCACGACAGCUCUCUUCCAAUGCCGUGCUCCACGUCACUCUUGGUCACAUUUUGAAAGCAGUGAUUGCAUGCAAGGGGUUGUUGAUCGAGAGCGUGGUCAUAAAAGGGUACGGAGAGUCGACGGAUUUGUGGACAGAAUCGCGACACGAGGUGUUCAAAAAACUUACAGAGAAUGCAUACGCGGCUAUGCUUCACUUUGAUUCACCCACUUCACCUGAAUGCUCUGUUAUAUCGUUCAUGGACUGGUUCCACAGCUUCACUAAUCUGUUCAGUGUACCUUGCAAACGAUGCGGAUUGUAUCUUCACAACUUCCUGCCGCCUACUUGGCGAGAUUUUGACACCUUGGAGCCUUAUCAUCAAGAGUGCAGAGCCUCGUAAUUGAAAUCCCGCAACUUAUUACGACUGGUAAUAAACUAGAAAAGUAUGUACACUCAACUUGGUCUUCUCAGUUUGUAUUAACAAAAAGGCGCGACUACUCUUCAAUCGUUCUUAUUCAAUGAAUCGCAGAAAUAAAGAAUGAUUGGAAUCAAAUUUCGACGAAUGACGACCCCCAAUUCUGAAGAGUGUUUUUCUUAACUAUGACGUAAGACGAGUUUGCAUAGUCCGUUUGGAGGGUGCUGUCAACGACGAAAAACCUCGGCGAAUAUUCGGAACAAUACGGUAUUUCGUAUAUUUGCUAAAUAUACCUGAGCUGAUCAAGAAACACCAAAGGGGCAAACCAUUUUGUGAUACUAAAAAGAGAUUUAUCUACAAACUGAUAGGGAGCUGCAAAAGUCUCCGUUAGAUUAGGUUAUUACGCACUGUAAAUAAUUGAUUCUACAAGUUUAUGUAAGUAGGUUCUUUUUUCCUUUUUCUUUAUUUAUAAUACGCUAAUUGUAUAUUAUUGUGUUUAAUUGCUACUAGCAUGAGUUUCAAUCACUGAGCUCUAUAACGACUGAAAAUGUGCGAAAGCGUUAUUUAAUUGAACAAAUUGCAAUUUAUACCUGCUUUUUUCAUCUGUGGAUGUUUAUAUCAAUCCAAAUACUGCGUCCAACGUCCCACGGACGUAAACUCCGGUUGUAAGUGAUCUACAGAUAUUUUUUCGUUUUGGUGAAACCAUCUUUUGAGUUCUGAUCACUGGACCCGUAUUAUUGAUAUUAUUAUGAAUUUCCAUACUUGCUAGUUUGAUCGCAACAUCAUUUAUUAAUUUUUUCCAAUUUUCGCAACAAAACUGUACUUUUCAUGGGGUAAUUAUUCAUUUUUAUUCGGUAUAUAACAGGUGUGCAGUUGAUUUAUCUUUAUUCUAAAUCUAUAUAUCAUUCUUAAUAUCAUCAUAUCGUAAUUAAUUCUAUGUAUAAUGACAAUCAUAAUCAUAAUGAGUAUCGUUAUAAUGUAAUUAUAAUUAUGGUGUAAUUGUUAUCGUCACAGAACUGUACACAUCCAUAAUUGGAACAUUGGCGCUUUAACGAGGGCGCAAGUCAUUGUUUUUUUCAUUUUUGUUUUUUAUUUGUAUGGUAAUGAACUUAUUUUACUCAUUGUUACUGUAAUCACUGGCUCCAUGGACUCUGGGUCCCAACUUUGUAAGGCUCUAUCUACUUUGCGUCAAAUGAGCUUACCGUGAUUUUAUUUAUUCACUCAAAACAUUUUCUGCAAAUUAGCUACCCUUUUUAAAAUAAAAUAUAUGAAAUGCUGUAUUUUAUAUUCAUCGAUACAUAUAAUUCAGCGUGUCGUAAAAUACUUUUGAAAUUUGUAGAAUUGUUAUCGUUAUUAUAC